GCAAUUAUUUGAAGUUAAAAAUGGUUGGAAGUUUGAACUUUGAAGAUUUGCUAUUUCCCGUUGCUUAUAAUAAUAAUGCUGGAUAAUAACCCACCAUCAACGACAACAGAUUCAGAACCUGAUGACUUAGCAACCACGAUGCAUUGUUCGCUGUAAUAAAGAUUAAAGACACUGAAAAUAAAGCCAUCUAUGAUCCAGAAAAGCUGAAAAUUUGUCAAAAUUACUGUUUCUGGAAAGAACAAUCCUUCAAGAUCAAAUCUUCCAUCUCGCCGAUCCUGAGAAUCCUCGUUCUAACUGAGAGCAUGAUAAAGUCCCCAACCCUCCUCCUUAUUCCUCUCCUCCUCUCUCUUUCGAGCCGGGUAGUAGCCGGGUUAGAAUGUGCAGAAUGUUCAGAGUAUAAAACUAAAGGGUAUACUCAGUACACGGCCGGGGUUAAGAACAGUGCUGGGAGGCUUCUUCCAUAUUGCUCCCAGGCAGAGGAGUUUGGAAGAGUGAAGUGUGAAGACAGUGAGACGUAUUGUGUUGAUUUUAGAGUUACCACUGUGUACAACAAGAAGGCUAAACUGCGCUACAAGGAGGAAUACCGCUUCAAAGGGUGCUCCAAUAUUACUGUCACGUGUGACCCACUCAGAGAAAAAGCCCGUCAAGAAAUAGCGGAUGAAGACAGCAUAAUUGUGGAGAUAACUUGUGAAGCGCUGUCUCGCUGUCAGGAUGAUUAUUGUAACGGCGGACUCACGGGAACAGUUUCAGCUGUGUUAGUCAGUUUUGUAGUGUUUCUAACGGUUCUAGCACCUUAGAGUGAUGGGCUUAUUUGUUUUUCAUUUCAGUUUGAAAUAUUGUGCGAGCAUGUUUGUCAGACAUUUUUCAGAAACUUCACGCUCGAGCACAGUUGACGAUUGAAUUAAACCGGAUUUUUGAGUUACAUAAAGCCGUUCAUUUGAGGUCUAAAAUGAUGUGAUAUCUCAUGUAAAUUCUUAAAUUUCAUUUAAUUUAAGUUUUCAGUAUUUAAAAUAACAAAUUAUUAUCUCACCUGGAUUUAAGGUACUCG